ensembl:lncRNA
CUACGAAUAUGGGCGGGAUGACAUAACCCACACCUGAUGGCGAGCAGACCUUUUUAAACCACGUUUAAUACUGAAUCCAUUGCGUCAAUCCGGUAGCUCCCCGGGCUGUAUGCGUAUGUAGCUCAUAGUGGCUCAACACUGCUUGGAUCCCUGGGCUCCAUGCACACGAGGCAUGCCCUGCCCACCGGUAACCAGCCCGAUGACCUCAUGAGGUCUAGUGCGGGAGGAGGAGCCGUCGCCGGGACCGACCAACUAGUUCAUCAGUGAUUUCAUGUGGAGAUAAACGUUGGGGAAAAACUUUCUGGACUUGGAUAUCCAUGACAUUUCUACGGGAGGAACCGGCGCGUCUCCAGUAAACACACCAUGUUCAAGGCGGUGCUGAAGAAGAACCGAGACGGGGGGAAGGGCAGCAAGAAGGAACCAGUCAUUGACCAUUUAACUAAGAACAGCAAACCAACCUUACCGGAGUGCCUCCCACUGACGGACGUAGCGGUGGCUGCUAGCAGGCGAGUUCCUAACUUCCGAUCAAAGCCAAUUCCCAACAUGGCUGCCGCACAAUGCACCAUGAGAACGUCGCUUGUGCAAACCCCGGUUUCCUGUGCCACGGGCCGGCCGGAACCAGGCCAACCGCUGCGACGCUC